rnacentral:rRNA from 1 species
GACGAACGCUGGCGGCGUGCUUAACACAUGCAAGUCGAACGGAAAGGCCCUGCUUGCGUGGGGUGCUCGAGUGGCGAACGGGUGAGUAACACGUGAGUAACCUGCCCUUGACUUUGGGAUAACUUCAGGAAACUGGGGCUAAUACCGUAUAGGAGCUCCUGCUGCAUGGUGGGGGUUGGAAAGUUUCGGCGGGUGGGGAUGGACUCGCGGCUUAUCAGCUUGUUGGUGGGGUAGUGGCUUACCAAGGCUUUGACGGGUAGCCGGCCUGUGAGGGUGACCGGCCACAAUGGGACUGAGAUACGGCCCAGACUCCUAUGGGGGGCAGCAGUGGGGAAUAUUGCACAAUGGGCGGAAGCCUGAUGCAGCAACGCCGCGUGCGGGAUGACGGCCUUCGGGUUGUAAAACGCUUUCGCCUGUGACGAAGCGUGAGUGACGGUAAUGAGUAAAGAAGCACCGGCUAACUACGUG